UUUGAUCAAUCUUUUCCUAAUUUUUAUUAAGACUGCAACGAAAGUGUGCCCUCAUUAUUACAUUUUUCACAAACCUGUUAGCAUACAAAGGGCCUUUGUUUCUCAUUACCACCCGGGGCUCCUUAAGGCGUUUUAUGGAGUGAUGUGCUUUAUUAAAAAGCGUUUUCACCAACUUAAAAGUUGGAAUAAUUGUCCAAAUGGUUACAUGACCCAGGAGUUCUAUAUUU
rnacentral:lncRNA from 1 species